GUGCAAACGAAAGGCACUGGAACACUAAAUUACUCGUAUAUUUUGCGGGUGAAUGCAAAUAUGCACCAGAUACGAAGGGAUACUCUCCGUUUACAUCCAGUUUCAGUUCUCCAACAUAAAGGUCGAGGUACAGUUAUGACGAAAACAACUCGGAUUGCUGCCGUGGACUAGAACACGGAUUCCAAUACGCAACAUAAAUUCAAUCAACAGUGCCGAUUACUUCUGAAGCCAAUAAAAUGACAGCAUGUAUGUACAUGGUGGCAAUUCGGAUAGGGUUCCGACUCCAACUUUUUAAACUGAUUUUAUGCAGUGGCUUUCAAACUUUCUAGGAGCCAUACGUGUUGCUCAUAUCAAUUGCGUUAUAAUGAAUUUAGAGUUGCAUAUUGAAACAAAGUAAUACAAAAACACCAUUUUACAUUUAAAGCACAUUUUAUUAAGCUAAAUGUUUUGAAAACAUGCAUUUUUUAAUAUCAAGUGAUAUAAAAUUUAAU